UCUUUACUUACAAAUUCACUCAGGAAAUACUGAAAGCCACAUAUGAGAACUGCAAGGUCUUGUUAAGAUCAGACCUUAUCAAAUCUAGUUCCGAGGAGCGCUCCUUGCU